GUUGUUUAUAUAUUCUAGAAAUUCUAGAUAUUACAAAUAUGAUUUUCAAAUAUUUUCUUCCAUCCUUUGGAUGAUCUUUUUACUUCUUCAUGGUAUUCAUUGAAGCACAAAAGUUAUUUUACCCACUGCUCUCUAUUUGUUUUUUACUCCCUAUCUCCUCUUAAUCAAUCCUAUAUACUGUUAGUUCUACACAAGGCUAAGAUAAAAGCUUCAUUAGUAUAGUGACAUUUAGCUGCUUUGAGAAAAAGCAGCAGCACCUGAAACAGUACCUGACACAUACUGUUCCAUUAAUAGAAAAUUUUGAGUAAAUGACUGCAUAUAUUAACAUGCACUCAAAUGUUUUCUGAGAAGAUACCUCAUCCUCUUAAAUAUGGAUGUUUGAAACAAGGGACGAUCCUGAUUCUCAGACUGGUAAGGAUCGAUCACAUCCUAGCUGUUCUUUAAUCUUGAGUACCUCAUCACCACCACCACCCCAAAAAAACAUUUAACCCAUUAGUUGUCAUUUCCCAUUUCCUCUCUACAACACCUCUGCCUCUCAGCCCUG
rnacentral:lncRNA from 1 species